rnacentral:rRNA from 1 species
CACAAAUGACGCUGCGGGAUGCUCUCCCCUUUCCAAUCAAACGAGGAUUCUAUAGCUGCUAAAAUGAUUACGUUGCGAACGGGUGAGUAAUUUUUCGGAACGAUUUCCAAUAUGGGGGAUAACUAAUCGAAAGGUUGGCUAAUACCGCAUACGCCCUACGGGGGAAAGCAGGGGAUCUUCGGACCUUGCGUUAAUGGAGCGGCCGGAUAUCUGAUUAGCUAGUUGGUGAGGUAAAAGCUCACCAAGGCGACGAUCAGUAGCUGGUCUGAGAGGACGACCAGCCACACUGGAACUGAGACACGGUCCAGACUCCUACGGGAGGCAGCAGUGGGGAAUUUUGGACAAUGGGGCGAAAGCCUGAUCCAGCCAUUCCGCGGUGAGUGAAGCAGGCCUUCGGUGUUGUAAAGCUCUUUCGCAAGGGAAGAAACGAUGCAGCUCGAAUAAACUGUGUUAAUGACGGUACCUUGAUAAAGAAGCACCGGUCUAACUACGUGCCAGCAGCCGCGGUUAAUUCAGUGGGGUGCAAGCGAUUAAUCGGAAUCUGCUGGGCAGUAAAAGCGUGCGCAGGGCGGUUUUGUAAGAUCAGGAUGUGAAAUCCCCGUGGCUCAACCUGGAGCAACUGCAUAUCAAAACUGACAAUGCUAGUAAGUAUGGUAGAGGGUGGUGGUAAUUUCCUGUGUAGCGGUGAAAUGCGUAGAUAUAGGAAGGAACACCAGUGGCGAAGGCGACCACCUAGGACUGAUACUGACACUGAGGUGCGAAAGCGUGGGGAGCAAACAGGAUUAGAUACCCUGGUAGUCCACGCCGUAAACGACGUCAACUUAGCCGUUGGGAGCCUGAGCUCUUAGUGGCGCAGCAACGCAUUAAUAACGCCUGGGGGGGCGCCUGCCCGAAAACUAUAAUGUCGCG